rnacentral:misc_RNA from 1 species
AACGCACAUUGCGCCUCUUGGUUUUCCUUGGGGCAUACCUGUUCGAGCGCCGUUUAACUUCCUAAGGCACUGCCUUGCGUUGACGGAGCUCCUCGUUGGCGAGGAGUCCGCCCAAACUCGUGGGCGCCGCCAUGGUCCCCUGAUCGCAGCGAAAAUGCGAAUGAAAGGGAUCGAUGGUGACAGCCAUAAAGUCCACCGAUCGCAUGGCCUCGGAUCAGGUAGGGAUACCCGCUGAACUUAA